UAGGGAAUCUUCCACAAUGGACACAAGUCUGAUGGAGCAACGCCGCGUGAGUGAAGAAGGCUUUCGGGUCGUAAAACUCUGUUAUUGAAGAAGAACGUGUGUGACAGUAACUGGUCAUGCAGUGACGGUAUUCAAUCAGAAAGUCACGGCUAACUACGUGCCAGCAGCCGCGGUAAUACGUAGGUGGCAAGCGUUGUCCGGAUUUAUUGGGCGUAAAGCGAGUGCAGGCGGUCUUUUAAGUCUGAUGUGAAAGCCUUCGGCUUAACCGAAGAAGGGCAUCGGAAACUGGGAGACUUGAGUGCAGAAGAGGA
rnacentral:rRNA from 1 species